rnacentral:rRNA from 1 species
UACGUAGGGGCCGAGCGUUGUCCGGAGUUCUUGGGCGUAAAGCGCGCGCAGGCGGCCUCGCGCGCCCGACGUGAAAGCCCCCGGCUUAACCGGGGAGGGUCGUUGGGGACGGCGGGGCUUGAGGGCGGGAGAGGUCGGUGGAAUUCCCGGUGUAGUGGUGAAAUGCGUAGAGAUCGGGAGGAACACCUGUGGCGAAGGCGGCCGACUGGGCCGACCCUGACGCUGAGGCGCGAAGGCGUGGGGAGCGAACGGG